CGUACGACUCUUGGCAACGGAUAUCUUGGUUCUUGCAUCGAUGAAGAAUGUAGCGAAAUGCGAUACCUGGUGUGAAUUGCAGAAUCCCAUGAACAACCGAGCCUUUGAAUGCAAGUUGCACUCGAGGCCACCCAGUCGAAGGCAUGCCUGCCUGGGCAUCACGC
rnacentral:rRNA from 1 species